UACGUAGGGGGCAAGCGUUGUCCGGAUUUAUUGGGCGUAAAGAGCGUGUAGGCGGCCUGACAGGUCUGCUGUGAAAACUCGAGGCUCAACCUCGAGAUGUCGGCGGAAACCGUCUGGCUAGAGUCCGGAAGAGGAGAGUGGAAUUCCUGGUGUAGCGGUGAAAUGCGUAGAUAUCAGGAGGAACACCGGUGGUGUAGACGGCUUUCUGGACCGUAACUGACGCUGAGACACGAAAGCGUGGGUAGCAAACAGG
rnacentral:rRNA from 1 species